UUUUGGGUUUAGUGAAGUAUUCCAAUGUUUGAUGUUGUACUAAUGAUAAUCAUAUUAUUUUUCCUUCAGACAAACAUCACAUCUAGUAGUAAUUCUAUGUCUGAAUUAAUUCAUUCUCCAACCAACCACAUGCAAGUGCAAACAAAAGGUGUGGUGGGUUGACCCUGGCCGACAACCAAACACCCAGACAGCCUCUUUCUUACUCUCCCCUCCCAUGAGAUCGGGAGAAAACAGAAGAAAGGAAGGAGAAAAAAUGACCAGUAUGGCUUUUUGUCCCUGUUUAUAAAGAAGUCAUGGGCAUCCUUGCAGAAACCAACAACAGCUUCCACAGCAAAUCCCCCAAACAGCUGAAACACUUCACCUUCCCACUGCUUGAAAAAAAUAAAAUAAAAUAAAAUAAAAUAAUAAAAUAAAAUAAAAUAAAAUAAAAUAAAAUAAAAUAAAAUAAAAUAAAAUAAAAUAAACAGGAGAGCAAGUGCAACAGUAUGUUUUUUCACCUUAAAUGUUCUGCAACAGAUGUUUAGUAAGCUAAUGCUGAUAAUUCCUUCACAAAAUACUUUGAACUUUGGGAUGUAGAUUGGUGUAAGUAUUCAACAGGAAUGUCCCUCUUUGUUCUCAGUUGGGAAAUUUCCAGGAAAAUCUGAGGAAGACUACAUCUCUAGUCAUAAAAGCUGUUUACCAUCCUGUUACAUUCAUUGGCAAAAUUCCUUAUUCUGUUGCUCUACUUUUCUGUUGUGCUCAGACUCUACCUUGAAGAGCUGACAUAUGAUGAAGAAUCAAGAGGCUAGAAAAUCACUCUGCAGUCUGAAUUCUAUAGCAGCUUUAUAAGUGACUGUCACCCAUCAUAAUCUUGAUAUCUAUUAGUUUUUCUCUAUUUUUUCUUCCCCUCUCUUUUCCUCUUGGGAUUUGACUAAGGAAAGUGAUAGACCUCUAUCAAUAGGAGCUAAAGUUUUUUGAAGAGGAACUUUCUGCAGCUUUUACCAACACUUUUCAGAGUUAGAAACAGGACUGAUAAAAAAAGGCUAUAUAGCUAACUUCACUCACUUUGACAUAACCCAAAUGCACUAACUUAAAAUGAAAUGUUCAUGUUUCCUCUGUCUCUGCUAGGAGAAAAUGAAUUCCUUCUGUUUUUAAACAUGACUGCAUUUAAUUUCACCUGCAUUAAGUGAAGUCUAAAAAUAUUUGAGACAACAAAGUGAUGCCCCCAUUAUAGGUUUUACAUUUCAUUACUUUGAAAAAGUAGUAUUUGUACAUUUCUCUAUACUAAGCUUAUCUUCAAGUAUGCAUUUUUUUUUUUUUCUGAACACCAACAUCUGUCUGUUUUUUCACACCUUAAAUCUCUAUUUCUGCAAUCAAAUGAUGAGUCCAUAAUUCACAACAGAACUGGUGAAGAAGAUUGCUUCCAGGAAAACCUCUAAGAAAAGCAUAUGACUAGCAUAGCAUGGAUCCCUUGAAAUACAGCUUCCGAGAGUGUCCUUAGCCAUUCUGAGCACAGGUCACACUCUGCAAUCAAGUUCAAGAUUGAUCAUGAUUUGAUUGCUUAGUGUUAUGCUACCAUCACAUUGAGUACUGCUGUUGUAAUGUGACAGAAACUCCAAGCAGCAUUGAUUUUUGAUUGAUUUGAUUGAGUCUUUGUGACUUGGCGUCAGUGUUUGCAUCUGUUAUUCACACUGAUGCUUGUCGGUAGUGUAUUUUGGCCAGAUCUGGUAGCCAAUUGUCUUUGGAAUGAAAAGAGCAACCUAAUGGAAAAAGCUUCACUAGAGCUUCUGCUCAGCUACCAAGUCCAUUUUGCAUCUGAGAUACAUUUUCAAGACAUAUACAAAGCUGAAGAAAGCAGCUUUUCUUCCAUCCUGUCUGGUAGUCUCAGUCCUCAGUCUGUGAGUCUCCUGCUUAUGCUCACCCUCAGGGCAGUUCUCAGUCUCCCUGGCAGCUGCAUUUUUCUGCCAUGAGUAAGAUCUUGUAUCCCAAUGGUCAAUUGGGAUUAAUGGUCAACCAAUUAGCUGCAGUUGAGAACUGGCUCUUCAGUCCCUCACUUACUGUCAUGGAUUGAAGCACUCUUCACAAUGCACAGAAUGCAUGGAAAUUAACUCCAUUAUAAGCAGACAAAUCUGUAAAUCCCCAGAAAAUUUGUUGUCUUAGCUAAAACCUGAUAUAUUGUAAUUUUUCUUAAUGAAAGUUGUACAUUUUUAUUAUUUCACUUUGUACUUGAACAAUAAAAAAACACAGAUAUUUUCCAUCUGGAUCAACUGAUUGUCAAUAAAUGAUCAGCUACUGUAAUAUUUUUCUCUGAUAUUUCAGCCUUUAAGAUUAUUUGGUUAUUGUUUUAAAACUGCAGGUCUAAGUCAUGUAAUUCCUUACCAUUUGCUUAGUGAAGACCCAUCAUUUGCAAUCUUGUUAAUAUCUUUAUCUUCUUUUCUCCCUGCACUCACCUGGGCUUAUGUGGGGGUACUUUUGUUAUUUAUAUAUUAAAUAUUUUA